rnacentral:rRNA from 1 species
GAUUGCGAAGGCAGCUCACUGGACUGCAACUGACACUGAUGCUCGAAAGUGUGGGUAUCAAACAGGAUUAGAUACCCUGGUAGUCCACACAGUAAACGAUGAAUACUCGCUGUUUGCAAGGGCCAAGCGAAAGCAUUAAGUAUUCCACCUGGGGAGUACGCCGGCAACGGUGAAACUCAAAGGAAUUGACGGGGGCCCGCACAAGCGGAGGAACAUGUGGUUUAAUUCGAUGAUACGCGAGGAACCUUACCCGGGCUUAAAUUGAAGGUGCUGCAUGGUUGUCGUCAGCUCGUGCCGUGAGGUGUCGGCUUAAGUGCCAUAACGAGCGCAACCCUUAUCUUUAGUUACGACUCUAGAGAGACUGCCGUCGUAAGAUGGAGGAAGGUGGGGAUGACGUCAAAUCAGCACGGCCCUUACGUCCGGGGCUACACACGUGUUACAAUGGGGGGUACAGAAGGCAGCUAGCGGGUGACCGUAUGCUAAUCCCAAAAGCCUCUCUCAGUUCGGAUCGAAGUCUGCAACCCGACUUCGUGAAGCUGGAUUCGCUAGUAAUCGCGCAUCAGCACGGCGCGG